ensembl:lncRNA
CUUGUUUGGUCUCUCUUCAGCACCGUGGAAGGUAAAUGGCACAAUUAGAUGUUUCUGUGACAGCAUAAAGAGGCCAGUAUUUGAUGCUGGGCAGCUUUCUGUGUGGAACAAUGUAAUUGCUGAAAUGCUGUUUGUCUUCUUACCUUUUCAUUACUAUCAUUUUUGUUCAAUUCCAGUGCCUUUUACAAGCUUUCAUUUGUCCAUCUGUGGACAGUCUUGGUUGGGUAUAUGAGCUUUCUAAUGACACCGAUCUACAGGGAGGCAUAUACACCUAUUACAGCCCUAAAAGAAUCAGAACAGAGUCAUGAAAACAUAGCUUUUGUAUUGAAAUUCUCAAGGCUCAUCUCAAUUUGGACUAGCCGCAUUUUAAGUAUGUAAGAGUCAUAUGUGGCCUUGUGGCUGCAGAAGUGGACAGAACAGCUCUUUAACGUCCAAUGCAUUCAUAGGCUGUUAAGAGGAUGUCAUUCUCCUUCUCCUUCCAGGUAAUGUAUGAUUGUUUUGUAGCUAUUUCCUGGAGAUAAUGCAGGUGCUUCUGUUGUUUAACUGAAAGAAGUUUAACUGAAGAAAGUCCUACACUGGUGAGAACUUUCUGGCAGACAGGAUGCCAGCGGGGAGAGGUUUUUGCUGUGCUCUAUAUCUAUGGAGCAUCUGGCCCUGAGAUUUUCUAGAUUUUCCUGACAGUGGACCUUGCCCUCUACUCCUGCUGGCUCACACUGUGACCCAGCGUCAUGGCAAAUUAAAAACAGAUUGUCAGAUUUUCCUUUGGUGAAUAGUAUGUGGAUUUCUAGGCUUUGGAUGUUGUUAGAGUACAAUUUUAUAAAAAGUCCAAUUGAUUUUUGUUCCUGCCUGUUGAACCACAACCUAGAAGAUAGGACAGUCCAGGUCUUGUGGGGAGGUAGUUUCAUUGAGAUGGAGAUAUUUUAGCUCAGAUUUGCAGGGAAAGUAGAUGGGAGACUUUCCCUUUUCCCUAACCUCAGCCUCUUCAGUUUGCAAAGUGUAUUUUGUUGCACUUUUGUAAAGUGAAAGGGGAAGGAUGAUUAAUAGUAAUAACCUUGUGAGAGAGAGAGGCAGAGAGAGGAGGGCGGGGAGGGAGAGAAAUUCAAUGCAGAAAGUGAAACAAUAUCAUGAAAAACAAAAUGAAACUGUGCUUAAAAUAAUUCUCUAAUGGCUACUCCAAAGCAAAUUUAAACCUUUAUGCAAAGGAGUAAUUUAAAUGAUUCAUAGUCAAAACUGAGCAAAUUUAUCCAAUCAUUCGUCAGGGUACCAAAUGAUGGUGUUAGAAGAAUUGCACAUCAACAGGGAAAAUCAAGUUAUUUCACAUAGCAACUGGGUUGUUAUCCAAAUCGAAUAACCAAAAUGAGAACAAGUUAUGUCUUUCAUGGCCAUAAAUUAACAAUAGUGAACUCUACUGCAUUUUUAAUUGGCAGGAUCUUUUCCUUCACCCACCCAAAUACGGAUUCAGGAAGUAUCUCUUUAGCUCUCUGGGCAUUUUUAUAAUGCUUAUCAUUAUAAAACUGUAGAACCAAGGGAGGUAAAAAUGGGACCACAAGAGACAAAAGCUUUUGUGAGGAUUGUAAAUUAUAUGCUUUAAUGUCAUUAAGCUAUUAAAAAUUCAAUUUCUAGGUAGUUUUAAAGCCAAUUUUUAAAGUCAACUACCUACCAAUUAAUGCAAAAAUAAAUGGGGCUGUUAUGAGAAUUAGUCUUCA